CUUCAGCCCCCCUCCCCGAAAUUCUCAGAGUGGUCUGUGAGAAGGCCUUACAUUUAUUAUUUAAACUAUUAUGUUUAUUCAUAUCAUGAUCUGAUCACCAUGCUCAAUAUAUCCUAUAUGCAUGGUAGUAUUGGGAUAAUGAUACAAAAGGUUUGCUAGGGUAGAUCCUCUCCUGCCCAGACUCAGACCCCCCCCCCCCUCCGAACCAAAAUCCCAGCACACACACAUACACACACACCCCGAAUCAAAAUCCUGGCUAUGGGCCUGUCCUGAACCACCUCAACAUCAUCCACUCAAACAUCCAGCUUACCAUGGAAAAAGAAAAUGAAGGAAAACUGCCAUUUCUAGUCAGUCCUGGUCAUCCAGAGUGAUUGAUAACUGGCAAAUAGAGGGAGAAAACAUGGAGGUCGUGACAUACUUUGUAUGUUUAGGCGCAAAGAUUACUAUAGACGCAGACUGCAUCAGGAAAUCAGAAGGAGGAGAGCAAUGGCCAACCUCAAUAAAUAGUGAAGAGUAGAGACAUCACACUGGCCACAAAGGUCCACAUAGUUAAAGCAAUGGUAUUCCCCGUAGUAACUUAUGGAUGCGAGAGCUGGACCAUAAGGAAGGCUGAGAGAAGGAAGGUAGAUGCUCAAUAAUUGGGCCACACAGUUUACAGAAAACCCACACAGAGAGAUAGAUACCUACAUAAAAACUACAACCAUCACCCAUGUCAAAAAAUAAUCACAGUCAAAGCCCUGGCAGACCGUGCAAAAAGGGUCUGUGAACCCCACCUCCUCCAAGAGAACUGAACCACCUAAACUGGGCUCUGCGGGCCAAUGGAUACUCCACCACAGACAUCAGAAGAGCUGCAAGGCCAAGAACAAGCCAUGAGAGUAAAGACAUAGAUCCACCCAGAAGAAAAAGUGUUCUUACCAUACAUCAAGGGAACCACUGACUGCUGAUGAAGAAACAACCUACAAACUAUCUACAGACUCACUAAGAAAAUCCAACAGGUGCUAUGUUCAGCAAAAGACAAGAGGGAUCCUCUCACCUCUGCAAGAGUCUACUGUAUACCAUGCAGUUGUGGACAAGUUUAUGUAGGGACCACCAAACACAGCAGCAUCGCCCAAACACAAAUCAAGGAACAUAAAAGGCACUGCAGACUAACUCAUCCAGAAAAGUCAGCCAUAGCAGAACACUUGAUGAACCAACCUGGACACAGCAUUUUAUUUGAGAACACAGAAAUGCUGGACCACUCUAACAACCACCAUGUCAGACUACACAAAGAAGCAAUUGAAAUCCACAAGCAUGCAGACAGUUUCAGCAGAAAGGAAACCAUGAAAAUGAACAAAAGCUGGGUCCCAGAUCUUAAUCUAAAAUCAGGGCAGUAAAUAAAGAACAACACUCUCAAAACAUGGGAAUUUCAGACAUGAAACAAUCAGGGGCAACUAACACCUCCCAACAAAGGAUCCCCUCAGCAGGAAUCAUCCAGGCCUUGAAAAUGCAAGGCUUUUAAUGCUAAUCAAGAAAACCCACACACAGAGAUAGAUACCUACAUAAAAUCACAGACAAGAGUUCUUUCUCCCUCCCUGGACCUUCCACUGAUAUAUAAACCUCCCUUCUCUAGUUCCCAAUAUACCUCACAACCUCUGAGGCUGCUUGCCAUAGAUGUGGGUGAAACGUCGGGAUAAUGCUUCUGGAACAUGGCCAUACAGCCCAGAAAACUCACAGCAACCCAUAACUCAUGGUUAACUCAUGGUUAAGAACAGGGUGAGACAACAGGAAUUGGGAGAAAUCUACCUCUGGGAAGGGAAAUUGGAAAAAGAUGUCUUCACUGAAGUUUUAUCACCAAUCUUUGUUUCCACAACAUGCCAUUUUUUUCAAAAUCACAGGUGCAGAAAGUGAGGUGAAAUCUUCUGAACAGCAAAACAAACCCAACAGGGGUGUUAACUCUUCCCUAUGCUAUCCAAAGCUAAAAUGUAUAUAUUUUUGGCUGGUGUGAGGAAGGAACUGACAAAGCUACCUCUGAGUAAUCUUUGAGUAAGACAACACUAUGAAAUUCAUAGGUUUGCCAUAAGUCAACAAGCAACUUGAAGGCACAUCACACACUAUAUAGUGCAGGGUCUUAGGCACCAGAUCUCAGUCAGCCCCAGUGAGUAUUUGGGUGGAAGAUCGCCAAUGAAUACCAAGUGGUGUUUGACUGUAUUUCAGAGGUAGAAAAAGGCAAAACCAUCUCUGAGUUGUCUUUGCCUAAGAAAACGCUAUGAAAUUCAUGAGGUUGCCAUAAGUCAAUGGGCAACUUGAGGGCACAUGCACACCCAAUACAGGACACUGUCUAAAUAGCCUAAAGGCACCAUAUUCUUGUUACCCCUGGUCAAUACUUGGAUGAGAGACCACCAAUGAAUACCAAGUAAUAUUAGGCUACAUUUCAGAGAAGGAACUGGCAAAGCCACCUCUGGGUAGUUUUUGCCUGAGACAUCCCUAUGAAAUUCACAGGAUCACCAUAAGUCAAUGAGCCACUUGAAGGCACAUGCACACACUACAACACAGGGCCUAAACAGUACUCUAAAGCCAGCAGAUCUGUCUGAUCUCGGAAGCUAAGCAGGGUCAGCUUUGAUUCCUGCUUGGAUGAAGACUUCCAACUGCUGUCUGGUGCUAUAGGUUAUAUUUUCCAGGUAGGAACCAGUAAAACCAUCUGAGUAUUCGCUGCCAAAGAAAACCCUAUGCAAUUCAUUGUCACGCCCAGGGCUAUGAGAGCACUAAGAACCGACACACGGAGGCCAAAAACUAUCUAAUAUCUUUACUAAGGAAACAUGAAAGAAUAAUAAAAACAAGUAGGAAAUAUAGUCCAAUAAAAGACCUUUCAGGAAAGGUCAGAAAUAGUCCAAAAUUAUAUUGUCCAAUAUUUUAUAUUAGAGUCCAAAGUUGAAGAUCCAAACCGAAACACACUCUAUUUGCAAGCAAUAGAAUGGGGAAACGUCCAAAUUCUUUCCAAGGUUCAAAGUAAGUCCACAGCAAAGUUAGAAACAAGGCUUGAUACUAGAUGCAAGGUCCAAGGCUGGAAACAAGGCAAGAUAGUUCUUGAAUACUUGGCUAGACAAGGCAAGGAACUAGAGUUGCGGACUUUGCGAAGUCCACAUUUGGCUGGAACCACGAAAUCACUCCCGAAGUAGAUCUGUUGACUCCGCACGGAAUCCUUCAUGUCCGGCACUUUUAUCCCGGUUUCAUUUCUCUGCAAAGCAGGUGUCCAGCUUCCUUUCCCAAGGGAAAGGAGAACGAAACACAUCUCCCUCCAGAUGCGUUCCUCCCUAGAAUUUCCCAGGGGAACAUGGCUAAUUAGCGUCUUGUUUAGCUGCUAUUCUCAAGCUCCUCCGAACCUGCUCUUUCUCGCUCCUGCCCGCUGCAUAGGACUGUUUCCUGGGAAAAGGAGGGGAGGCAGUGGGAAAGGCCUGGUCAAGGUCUUCCGUAAUGGGCUCUCGGGUAGAAACAUCAACAACAGGCAUCUGGAAAGAUUCCGGCUCUUGCUGAGCCGGCAAAAAUCCCCUGUUUUCCUCCUCAUCAGCUACAAUGGCACUGGGAUCAGGACUUCAUGGCCCAUGGGACAUCACAUUCAUGGGGUCACCAUGACUCAACAAGCAAUGUGAAGGUACAUACUAAAGCCAAGCGGUGUCCAGCAGGACUAGUUUAGGAAGAAGAAUAUGCAUGGGGUUGCUGCCUUACUAGGGUUGCAGUUUGGGUCUGAAAUUGUCCGAGUUUGAUAUUUUUACAGUGCAGCUGCACACUGAACCAGCAGCAAAUGAAAAUAAUUAGCUUAUUAUUCUCAAUAGCUGCUGAAGAGAAUAUACAAGAAUGAGUUUUCUUCCCCUUUCAUACAAGUUAUGUGUAAACUCAGACCUAUUCUUGUGCAUUUGAUUCCUUUGUCAGGUAUGUGAGGCAGGUUUUGCACAAAGAGUUUGCUUAUUGGAGUGAUGGAAGUGGGUGGAGAGGCUUUAUUUUCCCCAUAAUAAAAAAACAUCAAAUGAAACAGGUUUGGCCAGAUUCAAGACAAAGCAAGGCAAGGCAAGGAAGCUAAAUUGUGGAAUGGUUUGCUUGAGUAGCUCCUUGCGCUUGGACUGGUGGCCAUGGUGAUAACAGUAUUCCUAGCUGCAGGGUUAGCCUCAGAAGGCGGUAUUGGGCCAUUUGAACCAUGGGAACCAGCAGGUUUCCAUUAUACCAUUUAAUAUCUAUGGCAGUGUGGUCCAACCCGCAUGCAGCCCACCAAUUCAUUUUUGUUGGCCCUUGCCCUUCUUACUGAAAAAAUAUUUUAAUUUAACCUUUGGAAAAAAUUAUUUACCCUUCUUACUGCUUUAAGUUUUUAAGAAAUUGCCAUAUUAUAGCCAUAUUGACGCCUCACAUUCCUAUACUAAAGUUUGAAUGGCCCUCGGGUAACUAAAGGUUGGACCACACUGAUCUAUGAAGUUAAGGGGAGAGGUCACUUGGUAACUUGAAAAGGAAGUAUCAUCAGGAUACUGGUAAUUUCCAAGUCUGUUCUCGCUCUCAUCUGAGUCAGGUUAAACUGUAGUGGUUAUUUGCUAUGAUACAGUGAUACACACUGUGGCACUGAGGAUGUUAUGAUAAUCUUCAUAUAGUCAUGGUCCCACAGAAAAUGACCAAAUGCUGUAUGUCCGUGACACAGAUCUAGCAGUAUUCAACCUCAUGUGAAGCUAAUGGGUCUUAAUUGCCUUCUCAAGACAAUGGCCGCCCAAGUACUUUGCAUUAGAAAAAGGAUAGCUUGCAACAUUAUGUUGUUGCUCGGAAUAUCAAAUUCCCAGCCAAGUAACUGUAAUGAUUUCACCUGAGCACUGACAGAACAAAGAAUCCCGGGGUGGGGUAGGGGAGUCAGAUUGCAGCACUAAUGAAAAGGCUAUUGGUACUUCGACUUUGUGAGCUUUGGUAGGUCCACUGCAUGGCACUGAUCCUUCCUCUGACUUUCUCACUCCAGGCCCAAGCCUGAAGAACAAAAACCAGCUUUUAUCAGCUGGAUAGGGCUAAACUUGCUGCAGUGAUCAAUAGGUCUAAAAAGAGAGCGCAGACCUAAAUUGUUGAUUAACCCAUUGUGUUUCUGAUUUACAAGAUUUUUUUUCUUGUGAUUCCACCACAUUUUCUGGAUUUUCCAAAAAAAUCAACCUCAAAUUUGCCAUUUCAUAUAAAGGACUUCAUUUCAUUACAUCAUUGUAUAUAAUGGGACUUGAGCAUCCAUGGAUUUUAGUAUCCGCAAGGGUCCUGGAACCAAAUCCAGUGGAUACAAGGGCCAACAAUGACAUAAUUGGAGGAAAUAUGUUGCAUGGCUUUCUUGUUAACCAGAGUGAUCUGUGAAUUUCUUUGAGAAGACAGCAGAAAAGAUGAAAGUUGGAGAGAAAACCUUCUGGAGCACAAUUCAGGUAGUGAUUUGGAAAAAGAAAAUAAUAAAGAAGAGAAAGAGUGAAUCUUAAAAAAGAAUGGGAGCGGGAAUGAGUAAGUUGUUUUCUUAGCAGGAGACCAAGAGCCUCAGGCAGUCACAGCCCUUUCAGAAAUAAUAAUAAAACAAUAUAAUAAAAUAAUAAUAAUACUUUAUUUAUACCCUGAAGGGACUCAGGGUAGAUAAUAAUAAUACCCUGCUUUUCUCUCUGGAUCAAGACCCAAAGAAUGCCACUCAGGAGCCUGUAUGGAAAGAAAGAGUCUUUUGGAAUAGCAGGGUCACAUUGUGAUUGUUCAUUAACAUAUCCUGUUUUUAUUGUGUUCUAGAUUAGUUUCUAUUGCAUAUUUUCUAUAAUAUUUAGGGGAAGGCAUAUCCGAAUGCCUUUCAGAUUGAAAGGAAAGUAAGUCUCCCCUUUGGUCCCUAUGAAAGGAAUGUAUUUGGAGUAUCUCUGGGGAUGGGAGUGCACGCCCUUCAAUUAUUUCUCCCUCUAAAGAUUGAUUAUAUUCUGGCCUAAUUUCUAUUGCAUAGUAUUGUGUAAUAUGCAUUAUAAUAUUAUAUUAGACACACUGCAAUGAAUCCCUUUGUAAGAAAUAGUGAUUUAGAUUUUUUAAAAAAAAAAUACAGAAAAAAUGUAAAAAUUACCAUCAUAUUAGCAUGGUGAUGGCUAGGACUAAUUGAAUACAUUAUCCAGCUAGAGGCAGAACAGUAUUUAUCUCCUUCCCAGGUCAUAUUAAGGAUGAGUAUUUCAGUAUCCUCCCUUGCAGUGAAAAAAAAUGCUAAAAUUAGAAAGUACAUAAUAACUAUGAGUCCUGUCCUUUCAUGAUACUUCAGCUGACAGUAGCACUAGCAGUCAUCUUGCUUUGUCCAUUUUCUUUUGCCUGAGGCUGACCGAGAAAUGGCACUCAGACUCCAACACCAUGUCAAGGGGCAGCAUAACCAACUCCAUUGAUUUUAUUUGGACAGCUGAGGCAGAAUAUACGUCAAGAGCUUUUCUAUUUUUCUGACAGCAAAAAUGCAACAGGAAUAUGUUUUUUAAAGACUAUCAAUGCACUGCCCUUUUAUGACACCAACACUGUAUGCCUAAUAGGCACCAACAUUUCUGAAGUUAGACAUGGGCUUUUGUUGCUAUUGUGUUCACUCAAGUUAUUCCCAACCAGGCAUGUAGCCGGGGGGGGGGGGGGGGGGCCUUGAGGGGCUUCAGCCCCCCCCCCCCCCGAAAUUCUCAGGGUGGUCCGUGAGAAGGCCUUACAUUUAUUAUUUAAACUGUUAAGUUUAUUGAUAUCAUGAUCUGAUCACCAUGCUCAAUAUAUCCCAUACGCAUGGGGGUAUUGGGAUAACGAUACAAAAGGUUUGCUAGGGUAGACCCUCCCUCGGGCAGACUCAGCCCCCCCCCCCCCCCGCCGCCCUGAACCAAAACCCCAGCCCCUCCCGAAUCAAAAUCCUGGCUACGGGCCUGUUCCCAACAUAUGGCAAUCCAAAGGUGCCCUUAUCAUAGGGUUUCUUGGCAAGAUUAUUCAGAUGGAGGGUUGCUUUGGCCUUCCUCAAAUGCUGAGAAAAUAUGAUUUACCCACGAUCACUCAAUGGGUUUCCAUGGCUGAGUGGAGAUUCAAACCCUGAUCUUGAGUUGUAGUCCAGUGCUCAAGCCAUUACUUUGCUUUGGUUCAGGAUUGACAACAUAAUGGAAGAUAUUAUCUACUAAUUCUGAUACCUGUAUGUGACCUUUACAUUCAGAAGCAGUUUUCCUGUGAAUACUACUUUCCUCAGAACAGUAGUAAAGAGUUACCUGAGAAAAAAGGAAAACAUAAUGAUGGCCUGAACCUGGCUUAGAAUUUCCCCACAAGCUGCUAAUUACAGCUGAAGUCAGCUCCAGGAUACAAAGGAGAAAGCUGCCAUCAGCUCUUCCUAUCAUGACCCCAGGCAACAAGUCACAUACCAGAGUCUUUGAAAUCUCAUCGCUCUCCCUCUUCAGCUUUGAGUGGUUUCUCCAGUAAAUGAAUUCUUUGAAUUUCUGCAUGGCAUCUACAACUUAACCAGAGUUCUCAGUGCUUGUCUGAACUGGUUACAAUUGAAAAGAAUUCACAUGGUUCAUCUUUUAAUUUAUAUCUAUGUAUCUAUACAACUAAGUACAGUAAUAGCUUUAUAAAACACAUUUAUACAGUUGUGGGAAGUGGUACAAACAGGCACUGCCAGAUAACUGCUGGUAAAACUUCACCAUUAAAUGCUUUGCUGGUCCUGGCAACUGCAAUCUGACCUGAAAAGAGAUGUCUUAGGAGCUGUAUAAUUCUUUAGUUUUACAAACAACCUCAGUAGCCAGAGGUUAUGGGUACUUUUAAAUGGUACCUGUUGUAAGUUUAAACUGUUUUGUAUGAUGCGUUAAAUUGGGUUAUUUUUAUAUUUAUAUAUGAUGUUUAGUUGAUUAUGUAUUGUGAGCCAAUAUAUUUGUAUUGGUCUUAAACUUUGUACGCCACUUUGAGUCCCACCCAUGGGAGAAAUGUGGAAUAUAAAUGAACAAAUAAUAAUAAUAAUAAUAAUAAUAAUAAUAAUAAUAAUAAUAAUAAUAAUAAAUGUUUUCAUUAUUUGUAUUCCACCCUCCUUUUUUCCUGUUCCUCUGGAAAAAGUAACCAUCCCCAUUGGGGGAAUCCUGGGAGAUCCUGUUCAUACUGUCACUGAAAUCAAUCACAGAAAGGAUCAAUGCAAUUUAAGUUGAGCCAAGAACCAGAAAAAAUGAUCACAUAUACAUAAGAAUAUAUUUACAUGAAGCAGUUAUUAAAUUUUGAGGUCAUACUUUCAUCGUGACAAUCUCUACAUUUUUAUUUGCUUGCUUUCUUUUUCCCUGCCUUUUUCCUGAUAUAGAUAUUUAUGGUCCAACAUCUUCUUAGUGUAAUAUAAAUAUCAAACCAUCCCCAUGCAGAAUAGCAACAUUGUGCAACAUUGGAUUUACACUGUAGCUUUAAUGCAAUUUGAGACCAAUUUAACUGCCAUGGUUCAAUGCUAUGGAAUCCUGGGAUUAGUAGGUUGGUAAGCCGCCAGUCUUUUUUGCAGAGAAGACUGAAGACCUUGCAAAACUACAGCUUCCAUGACUCCACAGCACUGAGUCAUGGCAUUAAUUCUACUAUGUAAAUGUGCUCUGGGUGCUGUUUCCUGGAAUUGGAGGACCUAAAGAUGUGCUGCAGGUACUGGUAUACUCAAGGCUCAAAUUCUGCAAUGUGCUGUAACUUGAGCUCCAUAUGUACCAAGUAUGGAAACUUCAAUAUGUUCAAAACAUGGCAGCCAGAUUGGUUACAGGUACAUCUAGGAAUAACCAUAUUAUGGAUGAGACCUCUUGGUCGUCCUCCCAUUCAUUUCAUAUGACAUAUAAUGUGAGAGAUGAACAUGGUCAUAGAAGGGUAUACUGGUCAACUUGUGCUCAAAAUAGAUACGAAUUGAGACAAUUAGAGAAGAUGUUGUGAUCUGCGCAAAAUUUAAGGAAUGGAUGGUAUACAUAACUAAGUGGAGUGAAGUUUCCUAUUUGCAGGACAGUCCUCAAUUUCCUGGAUGGCUUCAUUAAUGUCCAGGCUAAAACCGAGAGCAGAUUCAUUGUGGAAUCUAUCAGUUUCUACCAGCCCUGACUUCAUCUAUUGCACUGAAUAUUUCCUCCAAAAAUAUGGGUAGAUCAGUCCUUAGAAAUUAAAUGUUCUGAGUACACAAAUGAGUAAAAUACUGAAUGUCCUUAAAUGUGUUUUCUGAAUGAAGUAAUCAAUAAAACUGAGAAACAUGACUAUUAAAAAUGUCUAUUUCAAUGGGACAGGCCCUCCAGACACAAAUUGUCUCUAUGAUGGAUUGCUUAAACUCAUGGAAGAAAACAAAUGCAGGAGAACUCAAGGGACAAAGCUGUCCCUCUGCCUGAUCCCUAACAGGCAAAUGAUAUACAUAUUUAGAUUGGCAAUUGUGUAACAAACAGGAUAACUCAAACUCAUAAAUCUUUACCUUGCAAUCUCCUCAUGACAGUUGUACUGUGGCACACAUGUGGGAAUGUCUAUGAAAAAGACAUCUUCCUCUCUUAAAUGGCAAGAAAAGGAAAGAAGAUCAACUAGAAAGGUGCAGAGAAAUGAGGAAUUCAUAGGAAGAGUUUCCAAGCCUUUUGAGGCUUGAAAUAUAAUCACUAAAGUACACAGAAAUCUAUAAUACGUGUAAAGAUACAGUUGUCCUAUUACUAACUAAUAUACAAAAUAGAGCAAUGGUAACAGGCAAAUUAUAAUCCUUACAGGCGCAUGAGUAAUGCACAAAUGCAAACUGUUUACAGCAUUACAUCAAACAUUAUAUUCAUGUUUGUAUGUUUUUUCAGUAACAAAUAAGUAUGUUCAGUAACUGAGUACAACACUUUGAAUUCCAGUAUUGUCUCACGUAGAUAAGUCUCAGAAAUGCAUGGUCAAAGGUUUGGAGCCAAAAAGUGCGAAGGUAAGGGGAGUGCUGGUGGGUUCGCCGGCGGGGAAGGGGGUGGAAAAGUUUGGUGCCGAUAGGUAGUUUGUGAGGGGAUCCUGUCUUCUGCUUUAGUCCCUUUCCCCCACCUUGGUCCUCCUCAGAAUCGGUAGUUUUUUGGAAGAUGGCGGUGGUGUCUGUGGCAGGAAAUGGAUUGCGCCUUUGAAGGGAGGGGUGGGGGUUGUACUUUCUGCGCUCGGGCUGGCCUUUGGCGCAGGCGCAGAUAGAGAGUUCCAGUUUUGGGGGGGUUUUUAGGCCCCAUGGAGGUUGGGGAUGUGUAGUUUGUUUGUAAGAAUGUAGAGACGUGGAUGAGGGGUUGUGUUGUCAAUUUUCUAGGUUGGGGGGCCUUUAGUUUUGUUGUUUUGCCCGGUGGAGCGACACCAUUCUCCUUUUAUAUAUAUAGAUAGAUGGCAUAGUGAAAUGGUAUCUCUUAAAUAAAAUGGCAAAAUCAAGGUUUCUCUUUUGGAGUAGUCAAAAAAUAAGCAGAUUCUGUGGGUAUGGAGGGCUGAUUGUAUUAAUGGAGGCCAUGCAAUUAUUAUCUUUGUCUAUUCAACUGUUUCUCUUCUCAGUCUUCCUUUGCAAUGUGACAAUGUGAUAAGACUGUCAAAAGACUUAAAAAAAUACAUCAGAGCUAGAAGCAUAGAGGUCCAUUAGCAGAUAUGAGGGGGUGGCAGGAGGGAGGGAGAGGUUGUCCAAUUAGAGGAGAAAGGUGGGAGGAAGGAGAAGUUGGUGAGAAAGGAAGAAAGCAGAUGAGCAAAGGAGGGGAGGAAAGAUAGUGGGAGACAUUAGGGGGGAAGACAUUAGG